rnacentral:rRNA from 1 species
GACGAACGCUGGCGGCGUGCUUAACACAUGCAAGUCGAGCGGAAAGGCUCCUUCGGGGGUACUCGAGCGGCGAACGGGUGAGUAACACGUGAGUAAUCUGCCCUUGGCUUCGGGAUAGCCACCGGAAACGGUGAUUAAUACCGGAUACGACAACUUCUCGCAUGGGAUGGUUGUGGAAAGUUUUUUCGGCCAGGGAUGUGCUCGCGGCCUAUCAGCUUGAUGGUGAGGUAAUGGCUCACCAUGGCUUCGACGGGUAGCCGGCCUGGGAGGGUGAGCGGUAACACUGGGACUGAGACACGGCCGAGACUCCUACGGGAGGCAGCAGUGGGAAAUAUUGGACAAUGGGCGGAAGCCUGAUCCAGCAACGCCGCGUGAGGGAUGACGGCCUUCGGGUUGUAAACCUCUUUCGGUAGGGACGAAGCGCAAGUGACGGUACCUACUAAAGAAGCACCGGCCAACUACGUGCCAGCAGCCGCCGCAG